rnacentral:rRNA from 1 species
UACGUAGGGAGCAAGCGUUAUCCGGAAUUACUGGGUGUAAAGGGAGUGUAGACGGCGGAGCAAGUCUGAAGUGAAAGCCCCGGGCUUAACCCGGGAACUGCUUUGGAAACUGUACUGCUAGAGUGCUGGAGAGGUAAGCGGAAUUCCUAGUGUAGCGGUGAAAUGCGUAGAUAUUAGGAGGAACACCAGUGGCGAAGGCGGCUUACUGGACAGUCACUGACGUUGAGGCUCGAAAGCGUGGGGAGCAA